AUUUAUAUAGUUUAAGAAAACAUUACAUUUUCACUGUAAAGAUAAAGUACAACUUUUAUAAAUA
rnacentral:tRNA from 1 species